rnacentral:rRNA from 1 species
GAUCCGGAGGGACUCUUGCCGUAAAACCCCCCAAUUUUCCAAAGGUUGACCUCGGAUCAGGUAGGAAUACCCGCUGAACUUAAGCAUAUCA